rnacentral:lncRNA from 1 species
UGAUCUAGGCACAGAUUAUCUCAAGUUUCAGAUCUGACCACCUAUGAUGGAGACAUUAAACCGACGAUCAGCUGAACUCGGAAUGAGAUGCAAUUUGGUAGAGAUACACCAGACAUGUGAAACUAGAUUCCAGUUUAAGGGUAAUGGAUUUAGAGUCCAGGAACAUAGUUGAACGAUGACUUUUCAGAACAGUUGUUUCAGAGUUU